rnacentral:rRNA from 1 species
GAUGAACGCUGGCGGCGUGCCUAAUACAUGCAAGUCGAGCGAACAGACGAGGAGCUUGCUCCUCUGACGUUAGCGGCGGACAGGUGAGUAACACGUGGAUAACCUACCUAUAAGACUGGGAUAACUUCGGGAAACCGGAGCUAAUACCGGAUAAUAUAUUGAACCGCAUGGUUCAAUAGUGAAAGACGGUUUUGCUGUCACUUAUAGAUGGAUCCGCGCCGCAUUAGCUAGUUGGUAAGGUAACGGCUUACCAAGGCAACGAUGCGUAGCCGACCAGAGAGGGUGAUCGGCCACACUGGAACUGAGACACGGUCCAGACUCCUACGGGAGGCAGCAGUAGGGAAUCUUCCGCAAUGGGCGAAAGCCUGACGGAGCAACGCCGCGUGAGUGAUGAAGGUCUUCGGAUCGUAAAACUCUGUUAUUAGGGAAGAACAAAUGUGUAAGUAACUAUGCACGUCUUGACGGUACCUAAUCAGAAAGCCACGGCUAACUACGUG